rnacentral:misc_RNA from 1 species
UGGUUCUGGCGUCGAUGAAGAACGCAGCGAAAUGCGAUAAGUAAUGUGAAUUGCAGAACUCAGCGAAUCAUCGAAUCUUUGAACGCACAUUGCGCCCGCUAGUAUUCUGGCGGGCACGCCUGUCCGAGCGUCAUUUCAACCCUCGAGCUCCGCUCGGCGUUGGGGCCCUACGGCCGCCGUAGGCCCCUAAAACUAUUGGCGGGCUCGCCAGCACCCCGAGCGCAGUAAUGCUACAACGCUCGCGGCGGGCUGGCGCGUCUACGGCCGUUAAACCCCCAAUUUAUCAAGGUUGACCUCGGAUCAGGUGGGAAUACCCGCUGA